AAGUCGGAAUCGCUAGUAAUCGUGGAUCAGAAUGCCACGGUGAAUACGUUCCCGGGCCUUGUAGAUCAGAAUGCCACGGUGAAUACGUUCCCGGGCCUUGUACACACCGCCCGUCACACCAUGGGAGUGGGUUGCAAAAGAAGUAGGUAGCUUAACCUUCGGGAGGGCGCUUACCACUUUGUGAUUCAUGACUGGGGUGAAGUCGUAACAAGGUAACCGUAGGGGAACCUGCGGUUGGAUCACCUCCUUA
rnacentral:rRNA from 1 species